rnacentral:rRNA from 1 species
UACAGAGGGGGCAAGCGUUGUUCGGAAUUACUGGGCGUAAAGCGCACGUAGGCGGACCUGCAAGUCGGGGGUGAAAGCCCGAGGCUCAACCUCGGAACUGCCUUCGAUACUGCGGGUCUCGAGUCCGGGAGAGGUGAGUGGAAUUCCUAGUGUAGAGGUGAAAUUCGUAGAUAUUAGGAAGAACACCAGUGGCGAAGGCGGCUCACUGGCCCGGUACUGACGCUGAGGCGCGAAAGCGUGGGGAGCAAACAGG